rnacentral:siRNA from 1 species
CUUAUUUACAAUGGCUGCCACUAG